rnacentral:rRNA from 1 species
GUAAGGAGUUGUUACUANAAGUACUGCGCGCUACGACCACGAAGGGGGCAGCGGCCCAAGGUAUGAUUCAUGAUUGGGGUG